AAGAAAAAGUGUGAUUUUUCAAGGAAUCAAGUGUUUAAAGGUGGUGAGCUAUCUGAUACGGGUAAAAGACUACACCCGAGGAUCGAGAAUAGGAGUAUAUCUACUCCUAGUAUAGCUCAGAAUAGGCAAUAAACUGUCAAUUGCAUCGAUAAGUAAAUUUCGGAGUUGCAUCCUA
rnacentral:sRNA from 1 species